rnacentral:tRNA from 1 species
GGGCCUAUAGUAUAACGGUAGAACACCUCCAUGGCAUGGAGGAGGUCGGGGUUCGAUUCCCCGUAGGUCCACAA